rnacentral:rRNA from 1 species
GUCCUACGGGGGGCAGCAGUGGGGAAUAUUGCAUAAUGGGGGAAACCCUGAUGCAGCGACGCCGCGUGAGUGAAGAAGUAUUUCGGUAUGUAAAGCUCUAUCAGCAGGGAAGAAAAUGACGGUACCCGACUAAGAAGCCCCGGCUAACUACGUGCCAGCAGCCGCGGUAAUACGUAGGGGGCAAGCGUUAUCCGGAUUUACUGGGUGUAAAGGGAGCGUAGACGGCGCUGCAAGUCCGGAGUGAAAGCCCAUGG